rnacentral:rRNA from 1 species
UUAAGCGACUAAGCGUACACGGUGGAUGCCCUGGCAGUCAGAGGCGAUGAAGGGCGUGCUAAUCUGCGAUAAGCGCCGGUAAGGUGAUAUGAACCGUUAUAACCGGCGAUACCCGAAUGGGGAAACCCAGUGUGACUCGUCACACUAUCAUUAACUGAAUCCAUAGGUUAAUGAGGCGAACCGGGGGAACUGAAACAUCUAAGUACCCCGAGGAAAAGAAAUCAACCGAGAUUCCCCCAGUAGCGGCGAGCGAACGGGGAGGAGCCCAGAGCCUGAAUCAGCAUGUGUGUUAGUGGAAGCGUCUGGAAAGGCGCGCGAUACAGGGUGACAGCCCCGUACACAAAAGCGCAUGUGCUGUGAGCUCGAUGAGUAGGGCGGGACACGUGGUAUCCUGUCUGAAUAUGGGGGGACCAUCCUCCAAGGCUAAAUACUCCUGACUGACCGAUAGUGAACCAGUACCGUGAGGGAAAGGCGAAAAGAACCCCGGCGAGGGGAGUGAAAAAGAACCUGAAACCGUGUACGUACAAGCAGUGGGAGCACCCUUUGGGGUGUGACUGCGUACCUUUUGUAUAAUGGGUCAGCGACUUAUAUUCUGUAGCAAGGUUAACCGCAUAGGGGAGCCGGAGGGAAACCGAGUCUUAAUUGGGCGUUAAGUUGCAGGGUAUAGACCCGAAACCCGGUGAUCUAGCCAUGGGCAGGUUGAAGGUUGGGUAACACUAACUGGAGGACCGAACCGACUAAUGUUGAAAAAUUAGCGGAUGACCUGUGGCUGGGGGUGAAAGGCCAAUCAAACCGGGAGAUAGCUGGUUCUCCCCGAAAGCUAUUUAGGUAGCGCCUCGUGAAUUCAUCUCCGGGGGUAGAGCACUGUUUCGGCUAGGGGGCCAUCCCGGCUUACCAACCCGAUGCAAACUGCGAAUACCGGAGAAUGUUAUCACGGGAGACACACGGCGGGUGCUAACGUCCGUCGUGAAGAGGGAAACAACCCAGACCGCCAGCUAAGGUCCCAAAGUCAUGGUUAAGUGGGAAACGAUGUGGGAAGGCCCAGACAGCCAGGAUGUUGGCUUAGAAGCAGCCAUCAUUUAAAGAAAGCGUAAUAGCUCACUGGUCGAGUCGGCCUGCGCGGAAGAUGUAACGGGGCUAAACCAUGCACCGAAGCUGCGGCAGCGAACGUAUCACUUAAAGCGAUUCAGCGGGUUACGAUUGACGGAGCGAAGCGACGUCAAAGCGUAUACAAAGUCGAGUCGGUUUAAGGAUACGUUCGUUGGGUAGGGGAGCGUUCUGUAAGCCUGUGAAGGUGGCCUGUGAGGGUUGCUGGAGGUAUCAGAAGUGCGAAUGCUGACAUAAGUAACGAUAAAGCGGGUGAAAAGCCCGCUCGCCGGAAGACCAAGGGUUCCUGUCCAACGUUAAUCGGGGCAGGGUGAGUCGACCCCUAAGGCGAGGCCGAAAGGCGUAGUCGAUGGGAAACGGGUUAAUAUUCCCGUACUUGGUGUUACUGCGAAGGGGGGACGGAGAAGGCUAUGUUGGCCGGGCGACGGUUGUCCCGGUUUAAGCGUGUAGGUGUGUGUUCCAGGUAAAUCCGGUUCACUUUAACACUGAGGCGUGAUGACGAGGCACUACGGUGCUGAAGCAACAAAUGCCCUGCUUCCAGGAAAAGCCUCUAAGCAUCAGGUAACAUCAAAUCGUACCCCAAACCGACACAGGUGGUCAGGUAGAGAAUACCAAGGCGCUUGAGAGAACUCGGGUGAAGGAACUAGGCAAAAUGGUGCCGUAACUUCGGGAGAAGGCACGCUGACACGUAGGUGAAGUGAUUUACUCAUGGAGCUGAAGUCAGUCGAAGAUACCAGCUGGCUGCAACUGUUUAUUAAAAACACAGCACUGUGCAAACACGAAAGUGGACGUAUACGGUGUGACGCCUGCCCGGUGCCGGAAGGUUAAUUGAUGGGGUCAGCGCAAGCGAAGCUCCUGAUCGAAGCCCCGGUAAACGGCGGCCGUAACUAUAACGGUCCUAAGGUAGCGAAAUUCCUUGUCGGGUAAGUUCCGACCUGCACGAAUGGCGUAAUGAUGGCCAGGCUGUCUCCACCCGAGACUCAGUGAAAUUGAACUCGCUGUGAAGAUGCAGUGUACCCGCGGCAAGACGGAAAGACCCCGUGAACCUUUACUAUAGCUUGACACUGAACAUUGAGCCUUGAUGUGUAGGAUAGGUGGGAGGCUUUGAAGCGUGGACGCCAGUCUGCGUGGAGCCGGCCUUGAAAUACCACCCUUUAAUGUUUGAUGUUCUAACGUGGACCCGUGAUCCGGGUUGCGGACAGUGUCUGGUGGGUAGUUUGACUGGGGCGGUCUCCUCCUAAAGAGUAACGGAGGAGCACGAAGGUUGGCUAAUCCUGGUCGGACAUCAGGAGGUUAGUGCAAUGGCAUAAGCCAGCUUGACUGCGAGCGUGACGGCGCGAGCAGGUGCGAAAGCAGGUCAUAGUGAUCCGGUGGUUCUGAAUGGAAGGGCCAUCGCUCAACGGAUAAAAGGUACUCCGGGGAUAACAGGCUGAUACCGCCCAAGAGUUCAUAUCGACGGCGGUGUUUGGCACCUCGAUGUCGGCUCAUCACAUCCUGGGGCUGAAGUAGGUCCCAAGGGUAUGGCUGUUCGCCAUUUAAAGUGGUACGCGAGCUGGGUUUAGAACGUCGUGAGACAGUUCGGUCCCUAUCUGCCGUGGGCGCUGGAGAACUGAGGGGGGCUGCUCCUAGUACGAGAGGACCGGAGUGGACGCAUCACUGGUGUUCGGGUUGUCAUGCCAAUGGCACUGCCCGGUAGCUAAAUGCGGAAGAGAUAAGUGCUGAAAGCAUCUAAGCACGAAACUUGCCCCGAGAUGAGUUCUCCCUGAGACUUAGAGUCUCCUGAAGGAACGUUGAAGACGACGACGUUGAUAGGCCGGGUGUGUAAGCGCAGCGAUGCGUUGAGCUAACCGGUACUAAUGAACCGUGAGGCUUAACCUU